rnacentral:piRNA from 1 species
UUUGAUGUGAGAAUGAUGUAAUGAUUUCAGG